rnacentral:rRNA from 1 species
CGUAGGGGGCAAGCGUUGUCCGGAUUUAUUGGGCGUAAAGCGCGUGUAGGCGGCUAUGCAGGUCCGCUGUGAAAACUCGAGGCUCAACCUCGAGACGUCGGUGGAAACCGUAUGGCUAGAGUCCGGAAGAGGAGAGUGGAAUUCCCGGUGUAGCGGUGAAAUGCGCAGAUAUCGGGAAGAACACCCGUGGCGAAGGCGGCUCUCUGGGACGGUACUGACGCUGAGACGCGAAAGCGUGGGGAGCGAACAGGAUUAGAUACCCUGGUAGUCCACGCCGUAAACGAUGGGUGCUAGGUGUGGGAGGUGUCGACUCCUUCCGUGCCGCAGCUAACGCAUUAAGCACCCCGCCUGGGGAGUACGGCCGCAAGGCUA